ensembl:lncRNA
AAUUAUUAUCAUUAUUUUGAAUAGGUGAAACAUACACACAGUGAAACAUACACAGUAAAACAUACAAAAGGUUCAAAGCGUAAGUGAAAAGCAAGCAUUCCACCUCAUUUCUCAGUUGUCCAGUUCUGUCCCCCACUGUACUCCAGAGGCAAUCACUUUUCCUUGGGGUGACUCAGCACACUGAAGUUUGAGGGUCACCGUCAUACAUACGGGAUAGACCAAGAUGGGCGGUUCUCUGCACUCCAGAGCUCACACCAAAAUUGCAGAUAAGACCACCAUUCAAAGACAAGUGCCUGAGGAAGGUCUCAAAGUCACCAGCAAAGAUGCCAGGGGCUCCUGUUCAGUGCAUGUCUACACCUCCUAUUUCUAGGACCUUCCAAUCCGCUUCCUUCUGGGGACCACUUCACGUAGGAGGCAGUCCUUACACAGGUCAUCUUGUCACAAGCAAAGAUCAGGAAAGGAUAGGUGGGUAAGGGGAGAGUAAGACAUGAUGAUGAACUAAGGGGAGUCUGCAGAGAGGUCUAAGCUGGAAAGGUCUGGACAGAAACCCAAUAUUCAGUCUUUCCAUUUGUAUUUCUGAUUAUUUGUAGUAACCAGAAACUUCAGACAGGGUUUCACCGUGUUAGCCAGGAUGGUCUCGAUCUCCAGACCUUGUGAUCUGCCCUCCUCGGCCUCCCAAAGUGCUGGGAUUACAGGCCUGAGCCACCGCGCCCGCCGGCCGAAUAGAUUCUUCAGAAAAAAAAUCACUGAUGGCAGGGCACAGUGCCUCACGCCUGUAAUCCUAGCACUUUGGGAGGCUGAGGCGGGAGGAUCACCUGAGGCCAGGAGUUGAAGACCAGCCUAACCAACAUGGUGAAACCCGGUUUCUACUAAAAAUACAAAAAUUAGCCGGGCGUUGUGCGGGCCCUUGAAUCCCAGCUACUAGGGAGGCCGAGGCAGGAGAAUCACUUGAACCUGGGAAGAAGAGGCUACAGUGAACCAAGAUCACGCCACUGCAUUCCAGCCUGGGCUACUGAGUGAGACUCAGUCUCAAAAAAAAAAAAAGGCGUGGGGUGGGGCGAAAUUCGCUGAUGUUUUAACCAUUCUGGGGUCACAGCCUCCUUUGGGAAUCCCAUGAAAAUUAUGGACCUACUCUGGAAAAAGGCACAAACAGGUAAACCUCCACAACUACUGCGGAAGCCUCACAGACUACCAGCCUACCCAGGGAUCCCAGGAGGUCCAAGUUAAGAACCCCACUUUGAGAUGUUUCUUGUACUAAGAAGCCUGGUUUACAAAAAGUCUUCCCAUAUUUGUUUAGAGAACCCCAACGAUGUCGCCACUUGCAGCGAAGCGCCCUAGCAUGAACCGUAGUCCAGUUGGCUCAGGAGGUGGAGGCGGUGGUGGAGGCGGCUGGGGGCCUCCGCUUCUGGUGGCCGCAGGAGCAACCCACAGACAGGUAAUGGCUGCCAUGGGGGGCGGGGGCGUCGUCCUUAGCUUUUAGCGCCACCCGGCUGGCCCCUGUGCUUCGUGCGCAUUUCAUGGCCUCUGGGUGCCGUACCUGCUUCCCGCCUGGCUUUCCUGGGUGGCGGAGAGCGAACCCAUCCCAGCCCGGAUUGGGGGAGGGGGCGUCGGCGCAGGGUCCCGUGGGCAGAGCUGCGCUGGGAGCCGACGGGCUCCGCAUUCAUCAUUGUUCCUCCAGCGCCUGGCACGGGCUGGGCCGCAGCAGGGACCGUGGCCUGAAGCGCGCCAUCCCCUUCGCGUCGCCUGCCCGCCCGCCGAGCUCGCCGCCCACAGGUGUUUCCAGGGCUCCUUCCACCCGCCGGACAGAGGGAGGACCUAGAAGCCCAACCUGGCCCGCUGCUGGCCGAGAGCACAACAGCCGGCGGGCGCUGGCGGGCGCGGGGCGCACGGGGCCGCGGAGGGACCCGCGCGC